rnacentral:rRNA from 1 species
CUGGCCUACGGGGCGCAGCAGUGGGGGAUAUUGCACAAUGGGGGAAACCCUGAUGCAGCGACGCCGCGUGAGUGAAGAAGUAUUUCGGUACGUAAAGCUCUAUCAGCAGGGAAGAAUAUGACGGAACCUGACUAAGAAGCCCCGGCUAACUACGUGCCAGCAGCCGCGGUAAUACGUAGGGGGCAAGCGUUAUCCGGAUUUACUGGGCGUAAAGGGAGCGUAGACGGCAGCGCAAGUCUGGAGUGAAAUCCCAUGGCUUACCCAUGGAACUGCUUGGGAAACUGUGCAGCUGGAGUGCAGGAGAG